CCUACGGGAGGCAGCAGUGGGGAAUAUUGCACAAUGGGGGAAACCCUGAUGCAGCGACGCCGCGUGAGUGAAGAAGUAUUUCGGUAUGUAAAGCUCUAUCAGCAGGGAAGAAAAAAGACGGUACCUGACUAAGAAGCCCCGGCUAACUACGUGCCAGCAGCCGCGGUAAUACGUAGGGGGCAAGCGUUAUCCGGAUUGACUGGGUGUAAAGGGAGCGUAGACGGCGCGGCAAGUCUGAAGUGAAAGGCCGGGGCUUAACCCCUGAACUGCUUUGGAAACUGCCAUGCUAGAGUGCUGGAGAGGUAAGUGGAAUUCCUAGUGUAGCGGUGAAAUGCGUAGAGAUUAGGAGGAACACCAGUGGCGAAGGCGGCUUACUGGACAGUAACUGACGUUGAGGCUCGAAAGCGUGGGGAGCAAACAGGAUUAGAUACCCCUGUAGUC
rnacentral:rRNA from 1 species